rnacentral:rRNA from 1 species
AUUGAACGCUGGCGGCGUGCCUAAUACAUGCAAGUCGAGCGAGCGGCGGACGGGUGAGUAAUGUAUGGGGCUCUGCCCGAUGGAGGGGGAUAACUACUGGAAACGGUUGCUAAUACCGCCUACUAUCGGAUGAACCGAGAUGGGAUUAGCUAGUGGGUGGGGUAAAGGCUCACCAAGGCGACGAUCUCUAGCUGGUCUGAGAGGAUGAUCAGCCACACUGGAACUGAGACACGGCCCAGACUCCUACGGGAGGCAGCAGUGGGGAAUAUUGCACAAUGGGCGAAAGCCUGAUGCAGCCAUGCCGCGUGUAUGAAGAAGGCCUUAGGGUUGUAAAGUACUUUCAGCGGGGAGGCGUUACCCGCAGAAGAAGCACCGGCUAACUCCGUGCCAGCAGCCGCGGUAAUAC